UAUCGCGUAAGCGAUCGUUAAUGUUCCCGUAGUCUGAGAGGAACGCCUUCGGGUGACUGAUCUCAAUGCCAUCAUAGCCUGAGAGAUGGCGUCUUCGGACGGCAAAUCCGUUUAUCCUUUGAAAACGGGUAUCACUAACAAUAGUGAUGAAGGUGCAA
rnacentral:sRNA from 22 species